rnacentral:lncRNA from 1 species
AUGCGAGGCCUGAUGGAGCCAAGAGCUUGGCGGAGCCGCCAAGUUGCACUGGGAGCGGUGGGCUUGGGGAAAGAAAGCUCUGCUCCUCGUUACCCCUCGCAGAGCACCGUGAGCUGGGAAGCGGCAGAAAUAGAGGAGGAGAGCCCAGCCACCCAAACGCAGGCUGUGUCGGGGGGGCUGGCGGCACGGCCGCCCCCUCGCCCCGCAGCCCCACAUCGGGUCUCGGAGGUACGACGGGCCGCUCCCCACACCUGCGGCAAGCAGCUGCCUCACCCCGGCCAUCCCGGGGGGGGGUUCCCCGAGCCCCACGGCUUGGCCGGGCGCUGGCUCCACGGGGCAGAGAGGCAACAGCGGGCACCGGCGGGAUGGAGAAGCACGGAGCCAGGCUGCGGGUCCGCGGGUGACUCGGGUGUGGGUGCUGAGCUGCCAGGCACGGCUCCCCCAAAGCGGGGCCACGACGGGGCGAGGCAGAGCCCACCGCGGCCAGCACCAGGACCAGCACCAGCACCAGCAGCACCGGGGCCCCUCGGCCUCGCCGGCUUCGAGCCCCGGAGGCAGCACCAGCAGCAGCAGCGGCAGCACCAGGCCGGAGCUCGGCGUCCCCGGGGCCUCGCCGCCCUUUGUCUGCGGGCCCCGCUCCGCCUGCCUCCUGCCUCCCGGCCCCCCCCGCUCCCGUUACCGGCCCCGUACCUGCAUGCCCCGCCGCGGGCCCCGCUCCGGCUCCGCUCCGCCCCGCCGCCAGGCCGCCGCCACCACCGCGGCCACCGCCACCGCCGCUCGGCUCAGCCCAGCCCGGCCCGGCCCGGCCCGGCCCGCCCCGCACCCAGCGCCGCCCCCGGGCCCGCCCGGCUCCCCGCCUCCCGCAGCCUGCCCCCUGCGGGCCGCCACGGCCGGGGCCGGGCCCCCCCCGGUGCCUCCACGCCGUCAGCACGGGGCGAGGAGCCGGGGUUGCCCGCCCCGCCCGCAUCCAGCCCCGUUUUCCCCGUCAGUCCGGCCUGGUGGCCCCGCUCGCGGCCCCCCGGUGCUGUGUGGGGAAGCCCUGCUCGUGUUCUGGUUGCGGCUCUUCUUCGCCCCACAGCAGGGACAGGCAGCAGCGAUCAGGGGUCUCAGAGGGAAGCAGCAUCCCUGAACUGCAGCCCGAGCCCAGCACCCCACGAUUUGUCCCCCUAA